rnacentral:rRNA from 1 species
UACGUAGGGGGCAAGCGUUGUCCGGAAUCAUUGGGCGUAAAGAGCGCGUAGGCGGCCCUGUAAGUCCGCUGUGAAAGUCAAGGGCUCAACCCUUGGAUGCCGGUGGAUACUGCAGGGCUAGAGUCCGGAAGAGGCGAGUGGAAUUCCUGGUGUAGCGGUGAAAUGCGCAGAUAUCAGGAGGAACACCGAUGGCGAAGGCAGCUCGCUGGGACGGUACUGACGCUGAGGAGCGAAAGCGUGGGGAGCAAACAGG